GCCUCGCAAGCAGCGGCAGGGCACCAGACGAACAAACAAGCUCCGCUUGGACAUCCUCAGGCACUGGAGAGGGAAAACAGAGAGAUGUGUAAUAAGGGAGGAGAAGGACGAGGAGCUGAGGAGAUCACUGUCAGCAGACUGAGUCCAAAAACACAUGAUGACUCAAGCUUGGAUGAGGACGAACAUGAUGAGCUCACACAGAUGCCUCCUCCUGUCUGGCUUAAACUACGCCGGGAUGAAGAGCAGAGCCGUAACAGAAUGUACCGUCAAUAAAAUGAUCGCGAACACA